rnacentral:miRNA from 1 species
GGACAGGCUGUGUGGUUCGUCGUUUGGAGGGCAGUGGAAGGAGCACUGGACUUGGAGUCAGGAAGUCCUGCCAUUAGCAUCC